rnacentral:rRNA from 1 species
UGAGGAAUAUUGGUCAAUGGGCGAGAGCCUGAACCAGCCAAGUAGCGUGCAGGAUGACGGCCCUAUGGGUUGUAAACUGCUUUUAUGUGGGGAUAAAGUGCGUGACGUGUCAUGCAUUGCAGGUACCACAUGAAUAAGGACCGGCUAAUUCCGUGCCAGCAGCCGCGGUAAUACGGAAGGUCCGGGCGUUAUCCGGAUUUAUUGGGUUUAAAGGGAGCGUAGGCUGUCUAUUAAGCGUGUUGUGAAAUUUACCGGCUCAACCGGUGGCUUGCAGCGCGAACUGGUCGACUUGAGUAUGCAGGAAGUAGGCGGAAUUCAUGGUGUAGCGGUGAAAUGCUUAGAUAUCAUGACGAACUCCGAUUGCGUAGGCAGCUUACUGUAGCAUAACUGACGCUGAUGCUCGAAAGUGCGGGUAUCAAACAGG